rnacentral:rRNA from 1 species
UACGGAGGGUGCAAGCGUUAUCCGGAUUCACUGGGUUUAAAGGGUGCGUAGGUGGGUAGGUAAGUCAGUGGUGAAAUCUCCAAGCUUAACUUGGAAACUGCCAUUGAUACUAUUUAUCUUGAAUUUUCUGGAGGUGAGCGGAAUAUGUCAUGUAGCGGUGAAAUGCUUAGAUAUGACAUAGAACACCAAUUGCGAAGGCAGCUCACUACGGGAAUAUUGACACUGAGGCACGAAAGCGUGGGGAUCAAACAGGA